UAGGGAAUCUUCAGCAAUGGGCGAAAGCUUGACGGAGCAACGCCGCGUGAGUGAUGAAGGUCUUCGGAUCGUAAAACUCUGUUAUUAGGGAAGAACAAAUGUGUAAGUAACUAUGCACGUCUUGACGGUACCUAAUCAGAAAGCCACGGCUAACUACGUGCCAGCAGCCGCGGUAAUACGUAGGUGGCAAGCGUUAUCCGGAAUUAUUGGGCGUAAAGCGCGCGUAGGCGGUUUUUUAAGUCUGAUGUGAAAGCCCACGGCUCAACCGUGGAGGGUCAUUGGAAACUGGAAAACUUGAGUGCAGAAGAGGAAAGUGGAAUUCCAUGUGUAGCGGUGAAAUGCGCAGAGAUAUGGAGGAACACCAGUGGCGAAGGCGACUUUCUGGUCUGUAACUGACGCUGAUGUGCGAAAGCGUGGGGAUCAAACAGG
rnacentral:rRNA from 1 species